UACGAAGGGUGCAAGCGUUAAUCGGAAUUACUGGGCGUAAAGGGUGCGUAGGCGGUUCGUUAAGUCUGUUGUGAAAACUCGGGGCUUAACCCCGGGCCUGCAGUGGGUACGGGCAGACUAGAGUGCGGUAGGGGAGACUGGAAUUCCUGGUGUAGCGGUGGAAUGCGCAGAUAUCAGGAGGAACACCGGUGGCGAAGGCGGGUCUCUGGGCAGUAACUGACGCUGAGGAGCGAAAGCGUGGGGAGCGAACAGG
rnacentral:rRNA from 1 species